UGUAUCUUUUUUUUUUAAUUGUGAAAAACUUCAAACUUACAGGAAAGAACAUGAUUUACUUGCUCCGUCAAUAUCUCUUUUGAGUUCCACGAGGCUUGCUCAUCACGAUUCUAAAUCAUCGAGAAUCUCAAAGAAAGGAGGAAAGGAUAAAACUUAAAAGAAGAUAGAUCGUCUACACUGAGUUGAGAAAAGUUGCUACAAAGAGAGAACGUCUAGCGGACUCUAAUCCCCCAGUGGAAAGAGGACCCAGCCAUGGCAGGGUUAAGUGCUGCAGGGAUUUCCGGACAGGACUGCAGGGACCCUCGAAUCCCCGCCCCCUCAGCCAUCCAAGCAAUGGGAGCCUCAGAGGCAAGCCAAAUAAUAUCCAAGGAAACCCGGGCUCAGGUUUCAGCAUCUGGAGGAAACGUGAGAUUUUGUUUGGUGACUUGAUAAAGUGGACGCAGGCUUAGCCAGAGGUGGAUAUGUUGGAAGCCCAAGUCAAAGGCUGUUCCUGUUCAGGAGGGAGCAGAUGCCAGACCUGAUUUUUAUUUCUAGACCAAACUCUUUGUGACAAAGCCUCAUGAGCUUGGAAGAGCAAUUUUCCUUCUUCAAACUCUGAGUGCCUAUCACCUCCAUGUCCCUCUCCCUCUCCCUCCCUCCUCCCCCACUUCCCACCACCAGUCUUUUCUUUUCCAUAAUAAAACAGCAAUGUAAUCAGACCGUGGAAUGUAUUUCAGCAUGACAAAUAAACUAAAGCAGCUUGGUUUAUUAGCUGUUUCCAUGGGAGAGAUCUUUUCGGACCAAACAGAUAUUUACAAACAUUACAAGCUCUGAAUUGCUCCAGCAGUGACACGGCUGCCUAGAGAUACAUAGCUGUGCUUUUCUCCACACCCCCUUCAUCUGUGCUGCUCUCAGCCCGG
rnacentral:lncRNA from 1 species